CCCUUAGAUGUUCGGGGCCGCACGCGCGCUACACUGAAGGAAUCAGCACGUCUUUCUCCUUGUCCGAAAGGACUGGGUAACCCGCUGAACCUCCUUCGUGCUAGGGAUUGGGGCUUGUAAUUCUUCCCCAUGAACGAGGAAUUCCUAGUAAGCGCAAGUCAUCAACUUGCGUUGAUUACGUCCCUGCCCUUUGUACACACCGCCCGUCGCUACUACCGAUUGAAUGGUUUAGUGAGGCCUUCGGAUCCGCGACUCGUUUUGUGGAGAAGUUGGACAAACUCAGUCAUUUAGAGGAAGUAAAAGUCGUAACA
rnacentral:rRNA from 1 species